AGAGCUCUUGGUGACUUAACCG
rnacentral:siRNA from 1 species